AAGGUCUUGAUACUUGCCUUGGCUAACAUAAUGCAGCAGCAGCAGCAGCAGCAGCAGCAGCAGCAGCAGCAGCAGCAGCAGCAGCAGCAGCAG
rnacentral:miRNA from 14 species